rnacentral:rRNA from 1 species
UUCUCAUACACCUCUGUGCACUUUNCAUAGGUUUAAUGUGGAAAAGGUCUCUGGCCUUGGAAAUAUUAGCCUAUGUAUUUACAAACGCUUUAGUUUUAGAAUGUCAAUCGCGUAUAACGCAAUAAAUACAACUUUUAGCAACGGAUCUCUUGGCUCUCGCAUCGAUGAAGAACGCAGCGAAAUGCGAUAAGUAAUGUGAAUUGCAGAAUUCAGUGAAUCAUCGAAUCUUUGAACGCACCUUGCGCCCCUUGGUAUUCCGAGGGGCAUGCCUGUUUGAGUGUCAUGGUAUUCUCAAUACCCUAAAUCUUUGCGGAUGAGGGUGUAUUGGACUUGGAGGUUUUUGCAGGCAAUAUUAYUUUGUCGGCUCCUCUUAAAUACAUUAGCAGAGAUAUUACUGCUACUCUCCAGCGUGAUAAUUGUCUACGCUGUUAGUAGUGCGGUAUAUAAACAUCUAUGCUUCUAAUCGUCUUCGGACAAUUCUUUGACAUCUGACCUCAAAUCAGGUAGGACUACCCGCUGAACUUAAGC